rnacentral:lncRNA from 1 species
UGUAUCUGGCGCCUUGUCCUCGUGCGUGUGUGUCCUUGUCCCACGUAUGUCACUGCCCACUGACUUGGGGACUUCUCGCAGUGAUCACGACUUCUCCGCUUGGUUGCCAAAAUCUUUCUCCUCGAGGCGAGCUCUGCCUGGCGAUCGCGAGCCCUUAGACGCGGACUCUUGUCCGGGAUGCGCUGCCGCUGCUGCCGUCGCUGCCCACGCCUGUGGCUUUCGUGCUUCUGGCCGCUCUCGGGCUGCUGGCUCACGUCGUCGUUCUCUUUGGCUCUGCUGCCGGCUCUCGGCUCUGCUGCUGGCCGCUCUCGGGUUGCUGGCUCACGUCUAUAACUACUUACAUACUACAAAAUUGUGCGUCGUCACACCCCCCUUUCCUCCCGGGUGAUAUCUGAUGGCGACGCCGCCGGACGGGGUGAUCGUGAUCUUGAAAGUGCUUUCCGGCCACUCCAGGGUGAAGCGUCGCCUCCAGGUCCCCUGUUGUUGGCUUGUUCGCACCAUUUCAACGAGGAUCCGGGGGAUGAGUCGGCGUGGGGUAUUCGCCCGCCAUUCGGCAGGUGCCUCAACCCACUUUUCCUCCUC